rnacentral:lncRNA from 1 species
UCCGAUCGCCCACAAUCGCCACCAUUACUAUGCACCGGAGACAAUCACCACCAAUACUACACUCCAACCACAAUCACCACCAAUACUACACUCCAACCACAAUCACCACCAAUCGACCAAGUGCUCCGACCAUAAAAUCGACCACCAGUGCAUGCUUCGACCAACAUAUCGACUAUCAGUGCGAGCUCCGACCACAAAUCGACCACUAGUGCUCCAACCACAAAUCAACUUCUCCAUUUCUCCGACAACCUCUUCGAUUUUAGCUCUCAAAUUUGCACUUUAAUUAUAGCUUCGAACGGCACAGAUUGUUAUAAUAUUCUUUUCUAAGAUUACAUUAACAGUUAGAUCAAUCAAAAUUAAAAAACCUUGAGUAUCCCCCCUUAAAUUCAAAACCCCAUUGUGAUCAUUCAGUGAAAUUCCCAAAUCUCUCUUCCAUUUGCUCUAGUCUUCUUCUUCACCGACGUCUCAGUCACCGCGAUUGCACACAAUGGACAGUACUCUAUUUUGCUGUAUUUCUUUGUUUUUUAUCUAUAUGUUUAGAUUUGAAGUCCUUUGUAUAUAUGAACUUUAAUAUUUCCAUAUGUUUUGUUUUUGCAGAUCUAGCCCUAGAAAAUCUAUGUGAUAACUUUGAUCAGGCAGUCACAAUCUCGGGCGAUGAUUUGAUGAAGGCUUCUUCAUCCAUUCCAAAUGGAAGUUUGUUUAUCAUCUUCCUUGGAUUCUACUCUUUUUAGAAAAAUAAUUGGUUGAUUCUUUGUGGAUUGUUGUUUUUAACAUUUUGAUGUGAUAUUUUUAUCUAUUUCGAGAAAGGUUAAUUGGGUUUCUCUAGUGAAUUUAAUUCGAGAAUCAAAUACUUUAUGUUUUAUUUGAAACCUACUUUUUAAUGAAUGGGUGAAUUGAUACUGCCAAGAAAUUAUAUUAAAACAGCAUAAAUUCGGAUUUCUAUUCUUGUUCGAUAAUUGUUUCUACAUGAGUCAAUAGUUUGGAAAUAUUUAAUGUUUUUUUAAUCUUGUGUAAUGAGAAUAACUAAAAGAUUUCAUUGAUUAGUUGUUGUGUAAACACUGUAAGGUACUUUGAUGUUUGAACAUUUAACGAGCUGCAACAUUCUUUUUAGUUUGUUACUCAAGAAACUAGUUGUAA